rnacentral:rRNA from 1 species
UAGGGAAUCUUCCGCAAUGGGCGAAAGCCUGACGGAGCAACGCCGCGUGAGUGAUGAAGGUCUUCGGAUCGUAAAACUCUGUUAUUAGGGAAGAACAAAUGUGUAAGUAACUAUGCACGUCUUGACGGUACCUAAUCAGAAAGCCACGGCUAACUACGUGCCAGCAGCCGCGGUAAUACGUAGGUGGCAAGCGUUAUCCGGAAUUAUUGGGCGUAAAGCGCGCGUAGGCGGUUUUUUAAGUCUGAUGUGAAAGCCCACGGCUCAACCGUGGAGGGUCAUUGGAAACUGGAAAACUUGAGUGCAGAAGAGGAAAGUGGAAUUCCAUGUGUAGCGGUGAAAUGCGCAGAGAUAUGGAGGAACACCAGUGGCGAAGGCGACUUUGUGGUCUGUAACUGACGCUGAUGUGCGAAAGCGUGGGGAUCAAACAGG